rnacentral:rRNA from 1 species
CCUACGGGGGGCAGCAGUGAGGAAUAUUGGUCAAUGGACGAGAGUCUGAACCAGCCAAGUAGCGUGAAGGAUGACUGCCCUAUGGGUUGUAAACUUCUUUUAUAUGGGAAUAAAACGUUCCACGUGUGGGAUUUUGUAUGUACCAUAUGAAUAAGGAUCGGCUAACUCCGUGCCAGCAGCCGCGGUAAUACGGAGGAUCCGAGCGUUAUCCGGAUUUAUUGGGUUUAAAGGGAGCGUAGGUGGAUUGUUAAGUCAGUUGUGAAAGUUUGCGGCUCAACCGUAAAAUUGCAGUUGAUACUGGCAGUCUUGAGUACAGUAGAGGUGGGCGGAAUUCGUGGUGUAGCGGUGAAAUGCUUAGAUAUCACGAAGAACUCCGAUUGCGAAGGCAGUUCACUGGACUGUAACUGACACUGAGGCUCGAAAGUGUGGGUAUCAAACAGGAUUAGAUACCCCUGUAGUC